GAGGGUAUAGCUCAAGUGGUAGAGCACAUGCUUAGCAUGCACGAGGUCCUGGGUUCAAUUCCCGGUACCUGCU
rnacentral:tRNA from 1 species